rnacentral:tRNA from 1 species
GUGGUUAUAGCUCAGCUGGUAGAGCAUUGGAUUGUGGUUCCAGAGGUCAUGGGUUCAAAUCCCAUUAACCACC